rnacentral:lncRNA from 1 species
CAACUGCUUACUAAUAAAAAUCAAAAUAGCAAAUAGUAGUUUGGUUUUCAAAAUAAAAGUUUUUAUAAAUUAUCUUAAAAUUAAGAUGUGUUAUCCUAAACAUGUUUCUCCUGUGACUAUGGUCAUAAAGAUUCAGAAGUAGAUCAGAAUGCUUUAGGAUGACAAUAGAGAAGAGUUUAGCAUUUUACUGAAGCAAGUUAUUAGAGUGCGAUAAAAACGAUUUGCAAACGAAAAAAGUUAUAUAUAAAAUGGAUGGCGAUAGUUUUUUUUCUUGUCUUUUACAGAGUUAUUGAUUUUAAGUAGAUUUUUACUGAAUAUGCUAAUAAUGUAUUUUCUGUAAUGCGAAAAAAUUUUGUUUUUUCAA